GCCUCAGUAGCUCAGCUGGUAGAGCAAGUGGCUGUUAACCACUGGGUCGUUGGUUCGAGUCCAGCCUGGGGCG
rnacentral:tRNA from 1 species